UGGGGAAUAUUGCACAAUGGGGGAAACCCUGAUGCAGCGACGCCGCGUGAACGAAGAAGGUAUUCGUAUCGUAAAGUUCUGUCCUAUGGGAAGAUAAUGACAGUACCAUAGAAGAAAGCUCCGGCUAAAUACGUGCCAGCAGCCGCGGUAAUACGUAUGGAGCGAGCGUUGUCCGGAAUUAUUGGGCGUAAAGGGUACGCAGGCGGUUUAAUAAGUCGAAUGUUAAAGAUCGGGGCUCAACCCCGUAAAGCAUUGGAAACUGAUAAACUUGAGUAGUGGAGAGGAAAGUGGAAUUCCUAGUGUAGUGGUAAAAUACGUAGAUAUUAGGAGGAAUACCAGUAGCGAAGGCGACUUUCUGGACACAAACUGACGCUGAGGUACGAAAGCGUGGGGAGCAAACAGG
rnacentral:rRNA from 1 species